rnacentral:rRNA from 1 species
UACAGAGGGUGCGAGCGUUGUUCGGAAUUAUUGGGCGUAAAGGGCUCGUAGGUGGCCAACUAAGUCAGACGUGAAAUCCCUCGGCUUAACCGGGGAACUGCGUCUGAUACUGGAUGGCUUGAGAUUGGGAGAGGGAUGCGGAAUUCCAGGUGUAGCGGUGAAAUGCGUAGAUAUCUGGAGGAACACCGGUGGCGAAGGCGGCAUCCUGGACCAACACUGACGCUGAGGAGCGAAAGCCAGGGGAGCAAACGGG